GACGAACGCUGGCGGCGUGCUUAACACAUGCAAGUCGAACGGAAAGGCCCUGCUUUUGUGGGGUGCUCGAGUGGCGAACGGGUGAGUAACACGUGAGUAACCUGCCCUUGACUUUGGGAUAACUUCAGGAAACUGGGGCUAAUACCGGAUAGGAGCUCCUGCUGAAUGGUGGGGGUUGGAAAGUUUCGGCGGUUGGGGAUGGACUCGCGGCUUAUCAGCUUGUUGGUGGGGUAGUGGCUUACCAAGGCUUUGACGGGUAGCCGGCCUGAGAGGGUGACCGGCCACAUUGGGACUGAGAUACGGCCCAGACUCCUACGGGAGGCAGCAGUGGGGAAUAUUGCAUAAUGGGCGGAAGCCUGAUGCAGCAACGCCGCGUGCGGGAUGACGGCCUUCGGGUUGUAAACCGCUUUCGCCUGUGACGAAGCGUGAGUGACGGUAAUGGGUAAAGAAGCACCGGCUAACUACGUG
rnacentral:rRNA from 1 species